AGAAUUCAAUGGACAGUGUCAAUAGAUAAAUAAAUGAAAGGAUUGUUAUCAUUUUUUCAAAGUAAACUUUAAUGCUGUUCAUUCAUCUUAUUGAACUAGCACCUGAUCCACUGAGAAAUAGUCUCAAUCUCAUUAACUUGAGGCAGCUCACAUUCCAAAUAAAAUAAACUGAGAGGAAGAAAAUAUUGUUUAUAGGCAGUUUUUGUAAAAAAGAAUGUCUAUCAGCAGCUCUGUAGCUUGAACACAUACAGAAAUACAUCUAUUACAUUUAACUAGAAUGGGGCACAGUGAAUCAGCUUCCCUGUUCUGAACUGCUUAAGGGCAGACAUUUCAUUUUAUUUCUUCCUGGCUUUUCUGCAUUAAAAACUGAUUCCGUCUUUGACAGGUUGCACUGUAGAUGGCCUUGUUACAGUGCACGGGCAUUCUGGUGAAUGACUUUGAUUACUCUGGGACGAGGUCCUGUUGCUGUGAAAAUCAGGAAAUUUCAUACACUCAAAAAGAAUCAGUUUCUGAAACGCAGAAGCCAUGUCUGUCAAGAAUACAAGGAACUUACUACUGGAAAGUAAGUCAUUCUAGAUUUGACUCACCUUUGGCCAGCACUUGGCUAGUUCUCGCUUGUUCGUCAGAUGGAAUGAUGAGAACUUCAUCCUCUUGGUCUGUUAACUCUCCUGCUCUCUGUUAUAAUGUUCAAAAGAACCUUGACCAUCUUGAUAUUCUACAAACGUCAUGUUGACCCACUAUGUUAAGGAUAGAUCUGCUAAUUCAACCAGGGAAGUAGCAGCCACCCACAUCCACAACUUAAAUGCCAUCUAUAUACUGAAGACACCUAUAUUCAAUAUUUAGAUCACUGGAGAGGAGGCAAGUCUGCUUGCAAGAUAAAGAUGGAGCAGCCAAGGAUAUAGAAAGACUGAGAGGAAAGAGUACAAGCUCAAAAGCUAGUCAAGAGAUGGGAACAUGUGCGAAAGGAAGGGGAAAUUUCAAUUGUAUUGAAUGUUGUUGCUAGGUCAAACAAAAUUAGGAAUCAGAAAAAGCUUUUUUGGAAUUUCAUAAUGUGAAGUUGUUACAAGAUAUUGCUAAUAUCAAAGCAAUGCAUUGGAGUUGUGAGGGCAAAAUGUAGAUGAAGAUUAACUGAAGAGUGAAUAAGAAAUGUGAAGGUGAAAACAUUCUAAAUCUGCUAAGAAUCCCCAAAAUAAUUUUAAAUGUUAUGAAAAAUAUGUAUUACAUUUUACAUCUUGACAUCAGGCAUAAUUUUGUCAUAUGUUAAAUAAUAAAUACUAAUCUUCAGUAUUGCUUUACCAGAAUAAUUUAUCCUUCCAGUCUUUUCUUGCCAAUUUUUGAUCUACAUAUAUCAAAUGCACAUUAACCCAUUGCUAUUUUUCUAUUUUAACAAACUCUUCAGUCUCCUACCCUGUCAUUGUGAAUCUUCUGACUAAUCAAAAAAUAAUAAUUAGCAUUUAUUGAGACAUAGUGUCUAUUUUACCUGUAAUAUUUCAUUGUAUUCUCAUAGCAAUCUAAUGGCAAAUAAAUUAUUUUUACUAUCAUUCAAUCUGAAACUCAAAGUCAUGAAAUGUGUAAGUAGGAGAAGUGUGUUUCAAAACCAUUUUUUCUGACUCAGUAUCUGUUUUUUGGACCACAGCUCUCUAUUAAAUCUUCACUGAUCAUUUCAACUACCUUCCCAUUUAAAUUCCUCAUCCCAUGAGCAUCCCAUGAAUUAGCACUUCCAAGACAUCAUGACCGUGAAGUACCCUCUAUGUCACUGCCCUCUUCCUUGCUUAGCCAUCAACCUUGCCUUACACAUCACUAGAAUCAUCUAGACCAAAAAGACAUUAAGAUUCAUAGGCAUUUGAUUUGCCAAUCGCAUUGUAAUUUUCUACUUAAAAACUCAACUAUUUGCUUCCUUGUCCUCAGUUUCAAGGGACAGGUGCACUUUUUUUUUUUUUUGGAAACUUAUAUUCAUGGCCUCUGCUUUGGGUUCUAUCCUCUCCUGUCUUAGUACUGAAAUGUUUCUGUAGGUUUAGGACAUUCCCUCUUCUACAAUUUUACUUCUCUUUCCAGUCACUCUUCUGUCUCUACAUAUAAAAAUAAAGUACUUUCCACAGUAAGUAAAAUGUAACAACAACAAAAUUCCCAAAUCUGUGCACUCCUGCAACUAUCGCACUAUGUAUUUAUUCAUGUUUAUCUCUGUAUUCUGCCUCCUUUUAUUCAAAUUUUCCUCACCCAGGCUCUUCAAUCACAUGCAAACAGGUAUCUUUCUCUCUUGGGCAGCUUUAACCAAUGGUGCCAAUAGCCAAAUGUAAUGGAAACUUCAUAUUUCUGACUUUAUUUGAUGUUUGUUGUAUCAAGUAUUAUUAAGCAUUUUCACCUUCUCUAAACUCUUUCCUCUACUGAAAUUUUGUCAUGGUUCACCUUAUAUCACUAGAAAACAUUCCUCUCUAUGUAUUUUAUGGGUUCUAAAGUUCCGUUCAAACUUAAGCACUGAAUUAAACAGAAAGCUCUUAGCUGUUAUCAAUUGUGUUAUUCCUAACAUAUAAUAGGUAUCCAAUAAAUGCUUGUUGUCCAAGGAAUAUAUGAUUACUUUCUUCGUCAUCUCUUCCCUAGGCUUACAUCAUUCUUUCCUUAUUUUUAUCUUAUUUGUUUUGUCUGCUUUUUAUCUCAAUUACAGACUCCACAUUACAUGUUCUCCCAUUCAUUUUUUAUAGGUCUCUCUUCACUCUACGUAUAUGGAUACCUAUGAGGGUUGGAACCUUUUUUCUGUUUUGGUCUUUGCUGUGUACCUAGCUCCUAGCCUGGCACAUAGUAGGCAUUCAAAAUAUAAUAAUUAAAUAAAGUAAAUACAUUAAUUAAUUAAUAAAUCAGUGUAAAACGACCUUCACAAUAUGACUUUAGCUGCCAUAAAGAAACUAUUAUAAUAUUCUCCCGAGGACUCUCCAGCUCAGUGUGUUAUUUUUCUAAUUUCAAAGCAUUUUUCAUUUGUAUCUGAUGUUGUGGAUUCUUGACACAUUCAUAUAGCCAUUUAUUGGUCACUUACUUUAUCAAUCC
rnacentral:lncRNA from 1 species